rnacentral:rRNA from 1 species
CAAUAGCGUAUAUUAAAGUUGUUGCGGUUAAAAAGCUCGUAGUUGGAUUUCUGCCGAGGACGACCGGUCCGCCCUCUGGGUGAGUAUCUGGCUCGGCCUGGGCAUCUUCUUGGAGAACGUAGCUGCACUUGACUGUGUGGUGCGGUAUCCAGGACUUUUACUUUGAGGAAAUUAGAGUGUUUCAAGCAGGCUUACGCCUUGAAUACAUUAGCAUGGAAUAAUAAGAUAGGACCACGGUGCUAUUUUGUUGGUUGCGGCCCGAGGUAAUGAUUAAUAGGGAUAGUUGGGGGUACUCAUAUUCAACUGUCAGAGGUGAAAUUCUUGGAUUUGUUGAAGAUGAACAACUGCGAAAGCAUUUACCAAGGAUGUUUUCAUUA